UACAUGUGGGGCAAGCGUUGUUCGGAAUUACUGGGCAUAAAGGGUGCGUAGGCGGUUUGUUAAGUCAGGGGUGAAAGUUUUCGGCCCAACCGGAAAAUGGCCUUUGAUACUGGCGAACUUGAGUGCGUGAGGGGUAACCGGAACGAGUGGUGUAGCGGUGAAAUGCGUAGAUAUCACUCGGAAGGCCAAAGGCGAAGGCAGGUUACUGGUACGCAACUGACGCUGAGGCACGAAAGCGUGGGGAGCAAACAGG
rnacentral:rRNA from 1 species